rnacentral:rRNA from 1 species
CCCUUAGAUGUCCUGGGCUGCACGCGCGCUACACUGAUGUGUCCAGUAAGCACCUAACCUCUUCCGAAAGGAACGGGUAACCAUUGCAAAGCACAUCGUGAUGGGGAUAGAUUAUUGCAAUUAUUAGUCUUGAACGAGGAAUUCCUAGUAAGCACAAGUCAUCAGCUUGUGUUGAUUACGUCCCUGCCCUUUGUACACACCGCCCGUCGCUCCUACCGAUUGAAUGUUCCGGUGAGCUCUUCGGACUGCGCGGUCUGCAGUUUCUGCGUUCCGUGCGGAAAGUUGCGCAAACCUUAACAUUUAGAGGAAGGAGAAGUCGUAACA